rnacentral:rRNA from 1 species
GUAGUUAGCCGGAGCUUCCUCCCAUGGUACCGUCAAUUUCUUCGUCCCAUGGGACAGAGGUUUACAAUCAAAUAACCUUCUUCCCUCACGCGGCGUUGCUGGGUCAGGGUUUCCCCCAUUGCCCAAUAUUCCCCACUGCUGCCUCCCGUAGGAGUCUGGACCGUGUCUCAGUUCCAGUGUGGCCGUUCACCCUCUCAGGCCGGCUACCCAUCGUCGCCUUGGUGAGCUGUUAUCUCACCAACUAGCUAAUGGGACGCGAGACCGUCUGUUAGCGGAUUACUCCUUUGACCCCUGCAUCAUGUGAUGCUGUGGUCUUAUGCGGUAUUAGCAUCGGUUUCCCGGUGUUAUCCCCCUCUAUCAGGUUGGUUCCUCACGCGUUACUCACCCGUCCGCCACUAACUUUAUACCCGAAGGUAUAUCGUCCGUUCGACUUGCAUGUGUUAGGCACGCCGCCAGCGUUCGUCCUGAGCCAUAUNAACAACUNACGUACUAGNGGCGGUCGNGAGACGGCG